GACGGAGGAUGCAAGCGUUGUCCGGAAUCAUUGGGCGUAAAGAGCGUGUAGGCGGCUAUUUAAGUCCUGCGUGAAAUCCUGCGGCUCAACCGCAGACGGUCGUGGGAAACUGGAUGGCUAGAGUGCGGGAGAGGAGAGUGGAAUUCCCGGUGUAGCGGUGAAAUGCGCAGAUAUCGGGAAGAACACCCGUGGCGAAGGCGGCUCUCUGGAACGCAACUGACGCUGAGACGCGAAAGCGUGGGGAGCAAACAGG
rnacentral:rRNA from 1 species